UCGAUUUCUUCGGAUUGAAAUUUUAGUGACUGAGUGGCGGACGGGUGAGUAACGCGUGGGUAACCUGCCUCACACAGGGGGAUAACAGUUGGAAACGGCUGCUAAUACCGCAUAAGCGCACAAUACCGCAUGGUACAGUGUGAAAAACUCCGGUGGUACAGGAUGGUCCCGCGUCUGAUUAGCCAGUUGGCAGGGUAACGGCCUACCAAAGCGACGAUCAGUAGCCGGCCUGAGAGGAUGAACGGCCACACUGGAACUGAGACACGGUCCAGACUCC
rnacentral:rRNA from 1 species